UACGUAGGUGGCAAGCGUUGUCCGGAUUUACUGGGCGUAAAGAGCGCGCAGGCGGUCGUUCAAGUCGCGUGUGAAAGCCCCCGGCUCAACUGGGGAGGGUCACGCGAUACUGGUCGACUCGAAGGCAGGAGAGGGUAGUGGAAUUCCCGGUGUAGUGGUGAAAUGCGUAGAUAUCGGGAGGAACACCAGUGGCGAAGGCGACUACCUGGCCUGUUUCUUGACGCUGAGGCGCGAAAGCUAGGGGAGCGAACGGG
rnacentral:rRNA from 1 species